GACGAACGCUGGCGGCGUGCUUAACACAUGCAAGUCGUACGGUAAGGCCCUUUCGGGGGUACACGAGUGGCGCACGGGUGAGUAACACGUGAGUAACCUGCCCACAACUUUGGGAUAACGCUAGGAAACUGGUGCUAAUACUGGAUAUGUGCUCCUGCUGCAUGGUGGGGGUUGGAAAGCUCCGGCGGUUGUGGAUGGACUCGCGGCCUAUCAGCUUGUUGGUGGGGUAGUGGCCUACCAAGGCGGCGACGGGUAGCCGGCCUGAGAGGGUGACCGGCCACGUUGGGACUGAGAUACGGCCCAGACUCCUACGGGAGGCAGCAGUGGGGAAUAUUGCACAAUGGGCGCAAGCCUGAUGCAGCAACGCCGCGUGCGGGAUGACGGCCUUCGGGUUGUAAACCGCUUUCAGCAGGGACGAAGCUUUUUGUGACGGUACCUGCAGAAGAAGCACCGGCUAACUACGUG
rnacentral:rRNA from 1 species